rnacentral:rRNA from 1 species
GAUGAUGGCUCUGAUUGAACGCUAUCCAAGUGCUUGACACAUGCUAAUCGUACGACAUCAUAUUAAAAAUGAUGUAGUGGUGUACAGGUGAGUAAAUAAUAUUUUGGCUACCUUAAAGAAAGGUUAAAUUCCUUAUAUGAGAAAGAAACUAAGGUUUCGCUUUAAGAUGUUAAUAAAUAUUUUCGGUGAAUAUAUAGUAGUAGAAAAGGUAAUAUCUUAACUAGCUAUAAGCCGUAGUCGUGACUGAGAGGUCGAUCGACCACAUUGGGUCUGAAAAAACCCCAAUGCGUAUUAGUACAGCAGUGAGGAAUAUUGGUCAAUGGCCUAACGGCUGAACCAGCAACUUGGAGGAAUA